rnacentral:lncRNA from 1 species
CUCUUCCUCCGACCUCACCUUCGAUGCGGAAGCGCAGGGGCAGGUGCGCCGCCCUCGGCCCGCGCAGGCGGUGGGCCCGUCUGGGGCAAGGCGCCCGGAAGCGCCUGCCCCUACCCUCGUGACUACAAGGGAAAACGUGCGGUGCUCACGAGAGAGCCUUUAUGGGAUUUUUAAAAAAUGGGGAUUGUGGGAAAAUGGCUCCAGCAGUCACAGUUUUUCAGUUUCUCACAAUCCCAUAAAAACAGAGCAACCAGGUAACAAAACUAAAGCAUGGGCAACAUUUACAGACCACUGGAUGGUGAAGAAUUCCCAUGAACCCCUGGUUCACACUGUAAGGACACACUACUCAGCAUGGGCAACAUUUACAGACUACUGGAUGGUGAAGAAUUCCCAUGAACCCCUGGUUCACACUGUAAGGACAGACUACUCAGCAUGGGCAACAUUUACAGACCACUGGAUGAUGAAGAAUUCCCAUGAACUCCUGGUUCCAACUGUAAGGACACACUACUCAGCUGUAGCCUGAAGCCGCCUCCUUACAUACUGUAAGUUUAGCCUAUAGGUUUCUCCAUACGUAGUGAACAGUCAUCUAAUUGGAUGUGUGGACACUGUAACCUACUCUUGAAUCAGUCACAGGCAGCAGCACUUCAAACUCUGUUUCAAUAAGCCAGACACGAGCUGUAGCCACCCUGCUGUUUGCAGGCCUCACCUCUGCCUUCUGUGCCUCACUCCCUUUUCUGUCCGUAAGUCUUUGGCCACACAGUGGCACUGGAGUCUCUCUGAGCCUAUUCUGGUUUGAGGGGUUCCCUGAUUCCUGAAUCAUUCUUUGCUCAAUUAAACUCUGUAAAAUUUAAUGUUUCUAAAGUUUUCCUUUGAACACUACCAACAGCGCAAGCCCAGGGUGAUGUCGGGGCCUGCGAGAGAGAAAGUAGGGGGGCCAAGGGCUCCACACUCACUGUGUGAACAGGUUUGUCUCAAAGGUUGUUGAUAUGUAUCAGCAUUCCCUAUUUGAACCUGUUCCCACCAGCAGUAUGUGAACUUUGGUUUGAAAAAAUAAUUCUGUAAAAUGGGAAGAACCGUGUGUUAUGUAUGGACUUUGAAAUACAGACCUCGAUGGAACUGACAGACUGAUCUAGGUAGACAGAUGUAGACAUCCCUAGGUGAUUACAACUCCAACCUGGAUAGAUGCCAUGUAGUCUUCCAAUUAGAGAUGCUAUACAGCCAAUGAAACUUAACCAUGUCUUUAAUAGGUGUGCCACCUUUUGUUAAAAUCAGUUAUCUUACAAGUAUCAUGAGAAAAAACAUUAGUAUCAACAGAUUGAAACAUUUAUUGGGAAGAAAGUGAGGCCACAGUCAGGAAAAAUAGCAUAAGCCACAACCUCUUAGUCAAGAAUCUUAGAAACAGCUGUGUUUCGUGUGUUUCAGAACUCUGAAUUGUUCUGAUUUUAGGAAAGUGACGUGUGCAUAUUCCACUUGGGGCCUGGGGCAACACCCUCAUCAAACUGAUAUUCCUGCAGCAAAAUACAAGCAGGACGAAAAGGAUCAUGGGUCGUCUCGUGCCAAAUCAGGUUAGACUUUCCGCCAAAUGAAGUACACAAAACUUUCCAUGUUUAGGACUAUGAAUUUGGGCCAGGCACUGUGACUCAUGCCUGUAAUCCCAGCACUUUGAGAGGCUGAGACAGGUGGAUCACUUGAGCCCGGGAGUUCAAGACCAACCUGGGCAACAUAGUGAGACCUCAUUUCUACAAAAAAUUAGCUGAGUGUGGUGGUGUGCACCUGUCUGGAGUCCCAGCUACUCAGGAGGCUGAGGUGGGAGGAUCCAUUGAGCCUAGGAGGUCAAGGCUGCAGUGAGCUGUGAUUGCACCACUGUCCUCCAGUCUGAGCAACAGAGCGAGACCCUGUCUUAAAAAAAAUGGAUACUGGGGCCACAGAUAAGAGGUAUGGGACUGUAAUGCAGUCACCUUUACGUAGUGGCUCAGGGGAAAAGGAGGAAUCCCAGUCCCCAGAAUUCUAGUUUUAUCUACGUCACGGGUGGUUUUGGUGAAACCUGGAAGGAUUCUGUGGUCACUUUUCCUCACUGAUGUAUGUUUCCUCCAAACUCAACUGUGUCAUUUGAUUAGCAUGCAAGGGUCUGUGCUAGCAAGGCCAGAACAAAAGGAGGUUAAGGGGAAGGACAGCAGUUGUAGGAAUAGAAUAUGGCCUUGGGGAGUCCAAGAUCUCCUGGGCCUGGGUAUCUGUGUGUGAACAUCAUCUGCACGUAUGUGACUAUGCUUGGGGCCCUUUAACUGUUGCACAGGCCAACAUGUGGCCCCCAAGACCCUUAUCUGACACCUUAUGUGAAAACUCAGUGGAUUAAAGACUAAACAAGAAAUAAAGGUAUACAAUUUCUAGAAGAAAACGGGAAAAAUUUAUGACAUUGGAUUUAGCAGUGAUUUAUUGGAUAUGACACCAAAGACACGGGCAACAAAAGUAAAACUAAGACGACAUCAGGCUUAGAAACUUCUGUGCAUCGAAGGACACAAUCAACCUUUCCCUUCUGUGCAGGGAAAAGGUAACCUGUGGAAUGUGAGAAAAUAUCUGCAAAUCAUAUAUCUGAUAAGGGGUUAAUAUCUGGAAUAUAUAGACAACCACCACUCAACAGUAAAACAAGUCACCUCAUUUAAAAAU